CAUCUAACUAACAUACACUAAUACAGUGACCAGUAGUUGGCAGUUAAACUUGCUUUUCAUGAUUAAAAAAGGUUGUGAUUUGACAUCCUGUCGUAUUAUACCUAUCAAGUAUACAAAACUCAAUUUUUAAAUAUAUUUAUCAACAAUCAAUUAGAAGUCCUCAGUGGCUGAGGGGUCUUAGGUAGUUCAUCUAAAGUAUGAGGUCCAACUAUUUUCUUGGCAUUCCAUUUUGAACUUAAUUAACUACAAACAAAGUUUUCCUGCUUAUUGUCUUGGUACUCUCUUUUCCUUGACAAAUAAAAGUUUCUGCCAUGAUGUAACAAAAAUGCUGAAAUAGGUGUUAAACGCCAUCAAUCAUUAGGAUUGACAAUCAAAAAUCAUCCUUAACAAGAACAUUUAGUGCUGUUCAUCUAUUUUAUAAUACUGAGAUUAUGUUAUCAAAUGUAAGGCAUAGUAGUAGUGGAUUGUAUUAGUCAUUUGCCUUUGUGCUCUACAUAAUUAUAUUAGGCACAUUGUUUUCGAUGUAUGAGUUUGACUGUCCCUCUGGUAUCUUUCACCCCUCUUUUAUAUUAAGAUACUCUAUCAUAUUUGGAAAGAGGAGAAUCACCUAAAUUAACCAUUUAAAACUUUAACGGAAAGGAACAAAUGCAGGCUUAUGAUGCGUUUCCCUCAGUUUUAGUUUGUUACCCCGAUUUUGUUUUUUGUCCAUAGAUUUAUGACUUUUGAACAGCGGUAUACUACUGUUGCCUUUAUUUAGGGCUGUUCCAGAGUUUUUAAAAACACAUUUUUUUAGGGGGGGAUGUCAUCAGAGGCACAUUUGUAAAAUCCAUACUGUCCAUAAAAUAAAAAAAAUAUUUUACUUAAAACUUUUUACAAAAUGCAACCACCCGUGUUUAAAUAAUUGAGUGCCUCCCAUUUCCUGCCUAAUCAAUCUUGAUAAAUUUUUUAACAGAUUAUUUUUUGUAAAGUUUUGAUAGUUUCCAAUUGAACCAACGAGAAUCAUGUUAUCUGAUCAUAUUCACAUUGUAAUACCAAUUCCUUUUUGAGAAAGCAGCUAUUAAAAGCUAUUUGCAAUUGCACUAACAAUCACUUUUUUGAUUCUGUUCAUUGCUCAACCACAGUUAUUGAUCAGGGAAAAAGUUUAAUAAUGUGUUAAAUGAGAUACCUAUGGGUGAUGAUAAAAAUAAAUAGAUCCUCCCUUUUCUAUUCCAAGUUUAGAUGACUAUUUGGUGGAAAAUUUUGUUUUUUUCUUUUGUAUUGGCUUGUAUCAAGGUUAAACUAAGACAUAUAUAGAAAAUGUGACAACACAUGUUUUAUCCUUGAUAUAUGAACUCCUUUUGUUUAAGUGUUAUGACUACGGGAAAAGAUAGUUAAGAAUAAGAGCGCUCUAUAGUUGCUACUGAGAAAUGGGAAUUUUAUGUUCACAAGUUCAUUUUUAUCUGCGACUCAAUGUGGAAAGCCUUUAGUUUAGACAUUAAAAUUUGUGGGUAAACAGUAGCCAGUGAUGAAAAUGAGAUUGUAUUUAUUGUAUCAGAAGACAUAUAUAGUACUCCAGAUAGGAAAGUCGCAUUAAAGUCUUGUGUUUGUUUUGAUAUGAUUUCCCAAAAAACUUGUUAUAAACCAUACAAAAGAGUCAACACUCAUUACCAGAAAACUCAAAAUGUCAACAAUAUCGAGAUAUACUUAAAAAC
rnacentral:lncRNA from 1 species